rnacentral:rRNA from 1 species
CCUANGGGGGGCAGCAGUGGGGAAUAUUGGACAAUGGGCGCAAGCCUGAUCCAGCAAUACCGCGUGCGUGAAGAAGGCCCUAGGGUUGUAAAGCACUUUCAAUAGGGAGGAAAACCUGCCGGUCAAUACCCGGUAGCUUGACAUUACCUAUACAAGAAGCACCGGCUAACUCCGUGCCAGCAGCCGCGGUAAUACGGAGGGUGCAAGCGUUAAUCGGAAUCACUGGGCGUAAAGCGCGUGUAGGCGGCCUCGUAAGUCUGGUGUGAAAGCCCGGGGCUUACCCCCGGAAGUGCACUGGAAACUGCAAGGCUUGAGUACCGGAGAGGAAGGUGGAAUUCCUGGUGUAGCGGUGAAAUGCGUAGAUAUCAGGAGGAACACCAGUGGCGAAGGCGGCCUUCUGGACGGAUACUGACGCUGAGACGCGAAAGCGUGGGGAGCAAACAGGAUUAGAUACCCUUNUANUC